CAGAUCACAGCACAGAUAUGAGGUCAGUCACUCAUCUCCUGGGUUUGCUGCUGCUCUGGCUUACAGGUGCCAGAUGUGACAUCCAGAUGACCCAGUCUCCAGCCUCCCUGUCUGCAUCUCUGGGAGACAGUGUCACCAUCACAUGUCAGGCCAGUGAAAACAUUUACAAUUAUUUGGCAUGGUAUCAGCAGAAACCAGGGAAAUCUCCCAAGCUCUUGAUCUAUGCUGCAAAUGUAUUGAAAGAUGGGGUCCCAACGAGGUUCAGUGGCAGUGGAUCUGGCACACAGUAUUCUCUUAAGAUCAGUGGCCUACAGUCUGAAGAUGUUGCAGUUUAUUACUGUCAACAGCAUAGCAAUUUUCCUCCCACAGUGAUAUAA